rnacentral:rRNA from 1 species
AAUGAACGCUGGCGGCGUGCCUAACACAUGCAAGUCGGAUGUGCCCGCAAGAGUGCAUGGCAGACGGGUGAGUAACGCGUGGGGAAUCUACCUUUUAGUGGGGAAUAACGCUCCGAAAGGAGUGGUAAUACCGCAUGUGACCAUCGGCUGGGAUGUUGAUGGUGAAACCCUGGGACCUUCGGGCCAGGGGCUAAAAGAGGAUCCUGCGUCUGAUUAGCUAGUUGGCGGGGUAACGGCCCACCAAGGCGACGAUCAGUAGCCGGCCUGAGAGGGUGAUCGGCCACACUGGAACUGAGACACGGUCCAGACUCCUACGGGAGGCAGCAGUGGGGAAUUUUGCGCAAUGGACGAAAGUCUGACGCAGCAACGCCGCGUGGGUGAUGGAGGUCUUCGGAUUGUAAAACCCUGUCGCCAGGGACGAAGGGUGGGGCGUGAACAGCGCUUUACUUUGACGGUACCUGGAAAGGAAGCCCCGGCUAACUCUGUGCCAGCAG